GUUGGGGUAUUUUAAAAAAAAAGUAAAGCUUGCACCUUUAAAUUGGGUAUGGUUCCCCCCCAGCU
rnacentral:tRNA from 1 species